UUGCCUUAAACUAAUGAGUAAGGAAAACAAAGCGAACGGUGAGAGCCGGUCGCAGCGCUUAAAACCGUGCAAACGUUUAAAAUGGCGCAAGAAUUUAUGGAAGGGUAAUAGGCUGGUACGAGUUGAUGACGCUGCUUACUUUUGCAGAACUCUCUUGUGCGGGCCUCCCCA
rfam:Capsella rubella cultivar Monte Gargano unplaced genomic scaffold scaffold_4, whole genome shotgun sequence.